rnacentral:rRNA from 1 species
AAAUUGAAGAGUUUGAUCAUGGCUCAGAUUGAACGCUGGCGGCAGGCCUAACACAUGCAAGUCGAACGGUAACAGGAAGCAGCUUGCUGCUUCGCUGACGAGUGGCGGACGGGUGAGUAAUGUCUGGGAAACUGCCUGAUGGAGGGGGAUAACUACUGGAAACGGUGGCUAAUACCGCAUAACGUCGCAAGACCAAAGAGGGGGACCUUCGGGCCUCUUGCCAUCAGAUGUGCCCAGAUGGGAUUAGCUUGUUGGUGAGGUAACGGCUCACCAAGGCGACGAUCCCUAGCUGGUCUGAGAGGAUGACCAGCCACACUGGAACUGAGACACGGUCCAGACUCCUACGGGAGGCAGCAGUGGGGAAUAUUGCACAAUGGGCGCAAGCCUGAUGCAGCCAUGCCGCGUGUAUGAAGAAGGCCUUCGGGUUGUAAAGUACUUUCAGCGGGGAGGAAGGUGUUGUGGUUAAUAACCGCAGCAAUUGACGUUACCCGCAGAAGAAGCACCGGCUAACUCCGUGCCAGCAGCCGCGGUAAUACGGAGGGUGCAAGCGUUAAUCGGAAUUACUGGGCGUAAAGCGCACGCAGGCGGUCUGUCAAGUCGGAUGUGAAAUCCCCGGGCUCAACCUGGGAACUGCAUUCGAAACUGGCAGGCUUGAGUCUUGUAGAGGGGGGUAGAAUUCCAGGUGUAGCGGUGAAAUGCGUAGAGAUCUGGAGGAAUACCGGUGGCGAAGGCGGCCCCCUGGACAAAGACUGACGCUCAGGUGCGAAAGCGUGGGGAGCAAACAGGAUUAGAUACCCUGGUAGUCCACGCCGUAAACGAUGUCUACUUGGAGGUUGUGCCCUUGAGGCGUGGCUUCCGGAGCUAACGCGUUAAGUAGACCGCCUGGGGAGUACGGCCGCAAGGUUAAAACUCAAAUGAAUUGACGGGGGCCCGCACAAGCGGUGGAGCAUGUGGUUUAAUUCGAUGCAACGCGAAGAACCUUACCUGGUCUUGACAUCCACAGAACUUUCCAGAGAUGGAUUGGUGCCUUCGGGAACUGUGAGACAGGUGCUGCAUGGCUGUCGUCAGCUCGUGUUGUGAAAU